CGGGGUGAGUAACGCGUGGGUAACCUGCCUGUACAGGGGGAUAACAGUUGGAAACGGCUGCUAAUACCGCAUAAGCGCACGGCAUCGCAUGAUGCAGUGUGAAAAACUCCGGUGGUAUAAGAUGGACCCGCGUUGGAUUAGCUAGUUGGUGAGGUAACGGCCCACCAAGGCGACGAUCCAUAGCCGACCUGAGAGGGUGACCGGCCACAUUGGGACUGAGACACGGCCCAA
rnacentral:rRNA from 1 species